UGGGGAAUAUUGGACAAUGGAGGAAACUCUGAUCCAGCAAUUCUGUGUGUGUGAAGAAGGUUUUAGGACUGUAAAACACUUUUAGUAGGGAAGAAAAAAAUGACGGUACCUACAGAAGAAGCAACGGCUAAAUACGUGCCAGCAGCCGCGGUAAUGCGUAUGUUGCGAGCGUUAUCCGGAAUUAUUGGGCUUAAAGGGCAUCUAGGCGGUAAGACAAGUUGAAGGUGAAAACCUGUGGCUCAACCAUAGGCUUGCCUACAAAACUGUUGAACUAGAGUACUGGAAAGGUGGGUGGAACUACACGAGUAGAGGUGAAAUUCGUAGAUAUGUGUAGGAAUGCCGAUGAUGAAGAUAACUCACUGGACAGAAACUGACGCUGAAGUGCGAAAGCUAGGGGAGCAAACAGG
rnacentral:rRNA from 1 species